rnacentral:rRNA from 1 species
GGCUUAGAGUUUGAUCAUGGCUCAGGAUGAACGCUGGCGGCGUGCCUAACACAUGCAAGUCGAGCGAUUUACUUCGGUAAAGAGCGGCGGACGGGUGAGUAACGCGUGGGUAACCUGCCCUGUACACACGGAUAACAUACCGAAAGGUAUGCUAAUACGAGAUAAUAUGCUUUUAUCGCAUGGUAGAAGUAUCAAAGCUUUUGCGGUACAGGAUGGACCCGCGUCUGAUUAGCUAGUUGGUAAGGUAACGGCUUACCAAGGCGACGAUCAGUAGCCGACCUGAGAGGGUGAUCGGCCACAUUGGAACUGAGACACGGUCCAAACUCCUACGGGAGGCAGCAGUGGGGAAUAUUGCACAAUGGGCGAAAGCCUGAUGCAGCAACGCCGCGUGAGCGAUGAAGGCCUUCGGGUCGAAAAGCUCUGUCCUCAAGGAAGAUAAUGACGGUACUUGAGGAGGAAGCCCCGGCUAACUACGUGCCAGCAGCCGCGGUAAUACGUAGGGGGCUAGCGUUAUCCGGAAUUACUGGGCGUAAAGGGUGCGUAGGUGGUUUCUUAAAUCAGAGGUGAAAGGCUACAGCUCAAACGUACUAAGCCUUUGAAACUGGGAGACUUGAGUGCAGGAGAGGAGAGUG